CGAACGUAGGGAACCUGCCCAUGCGGCCGGGACAACCUCCGGAAACGGAUGCUGAUACCGGAUAAGGAAAGCGAAGGCAUCUUUGCUUUGUUAAAGGAGCUGCAAGGCUCCGCGCAUGGAUGGACCUGCGGUGCAUUAGCUGGUUGGUGAGGUAAAGGCUCACCAAGGCGACGAUGCAUAGCCGGCCUGAGAGGGCGAACGGCCACACUGGGACUGAGACGCGGCCCAGACUCCUACGGAAGGCAGCAG
rnacentral:rRNA from 1 species